rnacentral:rRNA from 1 species
UUUAACGGCUGCGGUAUUUUGACCGUACAAAGGUAGCGUAAUCACUUGUCUUCUAAAUAAAGACCGGUAUGAACGGCAUCACGAGAACUUAACUGUCUCCCCUAUUUAAUCAGUGAAACUGAUCCCCCCGUGCAGAAGCGGGGCUAAUAUCAUAAGACGAGAAGACCCUGUGGAGCUUUAAGAUCAAUGUCAAUUGUCAUAACUAAUAAUAUACUACACAAAUAUGACCUUGAUUCUUUCAGCUGGGGCGCCUAUGGAGAAAAACCAACCCUCCAUGAUGAACUUAACUGAGAUACACCCCUCCAAGUGUUAGUAAACUUAACUUAAAUUGACCCAUUCAAUGAUCAACGGACCAAGUUACCCCAGGGAUAACAGCGCAAUCCACUUUUAGAGUCCCUAUCGACAAGUGGGCUUACGACCUCGAUGUUGGAUUAGGGCACCCAAGUGGUGCAACCGUCACUAAAGGUUCGUUUGUUCAACGAUUAAAG